GGGUUGUGAGGUUAAGCGACUAAGCGUACACGGUGGAUGCCCUGGCAGUCAGAGGCGAUGAAGGACGUGCUAAUCUGCGAUAAGCGUCGGUAAGGUGAUAUGAACCGUUAUAACCGGCGAUUUCCGAAUGGGGAAACCCAGUGUGAUUCGUCACACUAUCAUUAACUGAAUCCAUAGGUUAAUGAGGCGAACCGGGGGAACUGAAACAUCUAAGUACCCCGAGGAAAAGAAAUCAACCGAGAUUCCCCCAGUAGCGGCGAGCGAACGGGGAGCAGCCCAGAGCCUGAAUCAGUGUGUGUGUUAGUGGAAGCGUCUGGAAAGGCGCGCGAUACAGGGUGACAGCCCCGUACACAAAAAUGCACAUGCUGUGAGCUCGAUGAGUAGGGCGGGACACGUGGUAUCCUGUCUGAAUAUGGGGGGACCAUCCUCCAAGGCUAAAUACUCCUGACUGACCGAUAGUGAACCAGUACCGUGAGGGAAAGGCGAAAAGAAC
rnacentral:rRNA from 1 species